rnacentral:rRNA from 1 species
CCCUUCGAUGUCCCCGGCCGCACGCGCGCUACAAUGGUUCAGUCAACGAGUUAUUUGGGUAAUACCCUUAUAUCAUGAAGACAGUUAUAGGGAACUAUGAUUGUUGAUAUAUCCAGCUGUUGAAUCCUUUUGGAUUGGAAUAUGGUUGGUAAUCUGUUGUAAUUGAAUCGUGACUGGGAUAGAGCUUUGUAAUUCUGGCUCUUGAACUAGGAAUUCCUAGUAGGUAUACGUCAUCAGCGUGUGCCGAUUACGUCCCUGCUCUUUGUACACACCGCCCGUCGCUACUACCGAUUGAAUGUCACCAUGAGGAGGAUUCGCCUAAACGGUCCUUCGAAUGUUGUCAUUUAGAGGAAGUAAAAGUCGUAACA